GGAGAGACUGUGGCUUAGCUGUAAAACAUCUUCUUGGCAAGCAGAAGAUCCCAAGUUAAAUCCUUGGCAUCUUCA
rnacentral:tRNA from 1 species